rnacentral:rRNA from 1 species
AUGGGGCAGGCGCUGCGCAGGCUCUUCGACUCCUUCUUCUCCACCAAGGAGAUGAGGGUUGUGAUGCUUGGUUUGGAUUCAGCUGGCAAAACAACAAUCUUGUAUAGGCUGCACCUGGGGGAGGUUCUUCAAACUGUGCCUACAGUAGGUUUUAACGUCGAGAAAGUUCAGUACAAGAAUGUGGCAUUUACCGUGUGGGAUGUUGGUGGACAAGAAAAGCUCAGACAAUUAUGGAGGAUGUACCUCAGCAAUUCUGAUGCACUGAUCUAUGUUGUUGAUUCUUUGGACAGAGAAAGGAUCGAAGAUGCCAGACAAGAAUUCCAGAGCAUUAUCAAGGACCCUUUGAUGGCAAACAGCAUAAUCUUGGUAUUAGCAAACAAACAGGACUUGAAAGGUUCAAUGAGCCCGGAGGAGGUCAUUGAAGGGCUGGGCCUGCAUGAUCUCAAGAACAGGAUAUGGCACAUACAGGGGACGUGCGCGCUGCGCGGCGAGGGCCUCUACGACGGGCUCGACUGGCUCGCGUCCACCCUGAAGCAGCUGCAGGAGACAGGCCAUGCUACUUCAAUUGCUGGACCUUCUAUCUAG